UUGACUGCCAUCUGGCGGUCAUAAUCAUUCGGCAAUCGGCAUGAUUCGGAAGUUGCCUUCGAUCGAAGCAUAGCGUAUUGCGUACUAAGAAUCGAUGAACCGUUGGGACUUGGAAUCGUUACGAUUCGGUAACACGCAAUCGUUCUUACGAUGCUUUUGAACGACGAUUCGUCCAUAUCACGAUUCGAUUCUUACGAUUCUUUAUUUAGAGUCGUUCAAAUGAACGACUCAUUCACGAAUCGCCACAACUUUAGUCAGCAGGGGGUAACGAUAGAUCGGUACCUUGACAUUCAAAGGGUUAAGGGCGUUUUUUGUGUUAUAUUACAUGCAGUGUUGGAGACUUCACUGUUCAACAAGUCACAAAGACUUUAACUCAUUUGUGUGACUUUGUUGCAAAUUUGUUGGAGUGUUGUAGAACCUUCGUUCUUCUAUCCUGUUGUCUGUCCGUGGAGCAUAGUUGUGUAAUAGUGGCAGGGAGAAAUCAUCUUAAUGGUGCACUGCAACAGAAACCGCUUCACGAACACACAAACUCGGCCUGCUGUAACAAUAGUGCCAACUUGGCCUCCACAGCAGUAGCAAUGAGGCCUUUACAAAACUGGUGAUGAGUUUACAAAACUGGUAACGAGGUGGCGGCUUCCCAAGCCGGAAGCAGUGGCAACAAAGGCUGGAAAGCUGGCCAAAAUCAUGAUACAAUUUGUCACACAUCGAGCAGCAGCUCAAACAGUAAGCAGUGUUUCGGCAGCCACGCCUGCAGCUUCUGUGCCACAGUUCUUGCCACUGUAUCAUACCUUUGACGGAAACGCAUAAGACUGGACAGUGUAUGCUGUACGAUUUGGGGCCAACCUAGCAGCCCACUACAAAUCAGAUUCCUGGUUGAUGCAACCCAAGCGCCAUCCUUCACAGUGGGGUCACGCAAUGCUGUUUUCGGACCUCGAGCUGGUGGACAUCACUCCGAUGCUGCACCCGCCCACUAGUGGACGUCCAGCAGCACCUGCCAUGUCACCACUACUGGGUAAACCCCACGCCGAGGCCUCCCGAGGGGCCUCCAGUUAGACAGAUGCUGUCGCGGAUUGACAUCAUCAAGAAGAUGCCCUGCUGAAGGGUGCUGGGAUGCACUUUCUGCAUCGUUUUUCUGCCGGUGUUCCCUCGCAGUCUCAAGAGGGAUGUCAGGGUGUGACUUAGCAUCGGGUAUAGCAACUGUCGCUGCUCCAGCUCUGGUUCCAACAACCAUGCCUCCCCCUCACUAUCAAUAUGGUGCUCAGACGUACAUGACAAUGGUGCAGUGGUUUGUGGAGGGGGGAGGGGAGGGGGUGCUGUGUCUUCUGAACAAGACACAGCCAGGGAAAAAGCACCACAGGCACAAUGAUGGGAGCUGGUGCCAGUGCCAUAGACACUCACCACUUGCGCGAGUUUCACCAGCACCACAGGCAGUGUUGAGGCUGAAGAUAUCAAAUUUGCCUCAGCCAAUUGCCAGCUGAGUACAAUCCGCCAAUGACCAGACAACAACAGACAGAAGGCUACUCAGAAGACAGAAGAGCAGUUCUCACCCACUUGGUUAUAGAUCCUCGUCCAGAGCUGACUUAGACAGGGACUGUUCUUUAGUGAACACUUAGAAGUCAACAGACAGUUGUAAUUUGCAUUUUCUGUUACUGUGAAGCUUACAUACUAUUAUUUGCACUUAGCCAUUGAGGGCCUUUUUUGUGUUAUAUUACAUGUAGUGUGGAAGACUUCAUUAUUCAACAAAUCACAAAAACAAAUAAACCUUUUUAACUCA